rnacentral:rRNA from 1 species
UACGGGGGAGCAAGCGUUGUUCGGAUUACUGGGCGUAAAGGGCGCGUAGGCGGCCACCGCAAGUCGGUUGUGAAAUCUCUGGGCUUAACCCAGAAAGGUCAACCGAUACUGCGGGGCUAGAGUGCAGAAGGGGCAACUGGAAUUCUCGGUGGUAGCGGUGAAAUGCGUAGAUAUCGAGAGGAACACCUGCGGCGAAGGCGGGUUGCUGGGCUGACACGUGACGCUGAAGCGCGAAAGCUAGGGGAGCGAACGGG